AUUGAACGCUGGCGGCAGGCCUAACACAUGCAAGUCGAGCGAGCGGCGGACGGGUGAGGAAUGUCUGGGAAACUGCCUGAUGGAGGGGGAGAACUACUGGAAACGGUAGCUAAUACCGCAUACCAUCAGGUCUGCCCGGAUGGAAUCAGCUAGUAGGUGGGGGAACGGCGCACCUAGGCGACGAUCCCUAGCUGGUCUGAGAGGAUGACCAGCGGCAUGGGAACUGGGACACGGUCCAGCCACCUGCGGCAGGCAGCAGUGGGGAAUAGUGCACAAUGGGGGCAAGCCUGAUACAGCCAUGCCGCGUGUGUGAAGAAGGCCGUCGGGUUGUAAAGCACUUUCAGCGGGGAGGCGUUACCCGCAGAAGAAGCACCGGCUAACUCCGUGCCAGCAGCCGCGGUAAUUC
rnacentral:rRNA from 1 species